UACGAAGGGUGCAAACGUUGCUCGGAAUUAUUGGGCGUAAAGCGCACGUAGGCGGUUCGUUAAGUCGGAUGUGAAAGCCCUCGGCUCAACUGAGGAAGUGCACCCGAAACUGGCGAGCUUGAGUACGAAAGAGGAUCGCGGAAUUCCCGGUGUAGAGGUGAAAUUCGUAGAUAUCGGGAGGAACACCGGUGGCGAAGGCGGCGACCUGGUCCUUUUACUGACGCUGAGCGCGAAAGCGUGGGGAGCAAACAGG
rnacentral:rRNA from 1 species